UACGAAGGGAGCUAGCGUUGUUCGGAAUCGCUGGGCGUAAAGCGCACGUAGGCGGAUUUGUCAGUCAGGGGUGAAAUCCCGGGGCUCAACCUCGGAACUGCCUUUGAUACAGCAAGUCUUGAGUUCGAGAGAGGUGGGUGGAAUUCCUAGUGUAGAGGCGAAAUUCGUAGAUAUUAGGAAGAACACCGGUGGCGAAGGCGGCCCACUGGCUCGAUACUGACGCUGAGGUGCGAAAGCGUGGGGAGCAAACGGG
rnacentral:rRNA from 1 species